UGGGGAAUUUUCCGCAAUGGGCGCAAGCCUGACGGAGCAACGCCGCGUGCGGGAGGACGGCCUGUGGGUUGUAAACCGCUUUUAUCAGGGAAGAAGUUCUGACGGUACCUGAUGAAUCAGCAUCGGCUAACUCCGUGCCAGCAGCCGCGGUAAGACGGAGGAUGCAAGCGUUAUCCGGAAUUAUUGGGCGUAAAGGGCACGUAGGCGGUCUAGUAAGUCCGAUGUUAAAGCGUGGGGCUCAACCCCAUCACGGCGUUGGAUACUGCUAGGCUUGACGACUGGAGAGGUGAGUAGAAUUACCAGUGUAGCGGUGGAAUGCGUAGAUACUGGUAGGAAUACCCAUUGCGAAGGCAGCUCACUGGACAGUACGUGACGCUGAGGUGCGAAAGUGUGGGGAGCAAACCGGAUUAGAUACCCCCGUAGUCC
rnacentral:rRNA from 1 species